rnacentral:rRNA from 1 species
UCUCAGUAAUGCAGCUAACGCAUUAAGUGUACCGCCUGGGGAGUACGGUCGCAAGAUUAAAACUCAAAGGAAUAGACGGGGACCCGCACAAGCGGUGGAGCAUGUGGUUUAAUUCGAAGAUACGCGAAGAACCUUACCUGGGCUUGAUAUCCUAAGAACCUUUUAGAGAUAAGAGGGUGCUAGCUUGCUAGAACUUAGAGACAGGUGCUGCACGGCUGUCGUCAGCUCGUGUCGUGAGAUGUUGGGUUAAGUCCCGCAACGAGCGCAACCCACGUAUUUAGUUGCUAACGGUUCGGCCGAGCACUCUAAAUAGACUGCCUUCGUAAGGAGGAGGAAGGUGUGGACGACGUCAAGUCAUCAUGGCCCUUAUGCCCAGGGCGACACACGUGCUACAAUGGCAUAUACAAUGAGACGCAAUACCGCGAGGUGGAGCAAAUCUAUAAAAUAUGUCCCAGUUCGGAUUGUUCUCUGCAACUCGAGAGCAUGAAGCCGGAAUCGCUAGUAAUCGUAGAUCAGCCAUGCUACGGUGAAUACGUUCCCGGGUCUUGUACUCACCGCCCGUCACACCAUGGGAGUUGAUUUCACUCGAAGCCGGAAUACUAAACUAGUUACCGUCCACAGUGGAAUCAGCGACUGGGGUGAAGUCGUAACAAGGUAACCGUAGGAGAACCUGCGGUUGGAUCACCUCCUUUCUA